rnacentral:rRNA from 1 species
CGCCUACGGGGGGCAGCAGUGGGGAAUAUUGGGCAAUGGGCGCAAGCCUGACCCAGCAACGCCGCGUGAAGGAAGAAGGCUUUCGGGUUGUAAACUUCUUUUGUCAGGGACGAAGCAAGUGACGGUACCUGACGAAUAAGCCACGGCUAACUACGUGCCAGCAGCCGCGGUAAUACGUAGGUGGCAAGCGUUAUCCGGAUUUAUUGGGUUUAAAGGGUGCGCAGGCGGAUUUUUAAGUCAGCGGUCAAAUCGUGGGGCUCAACCCCAUCCAGCCGUUGAAACUGGGGAUCUAGAGUGUGCGAGAG